CUUUGCGCUUGGGGCAAUGACGCAGCUAGUGAGGUUCUAACCGAGGCGCGUCAAUUGCUGGUUGAAAACUAUUUCCAAACCCCCUCCUUGGCCUGGGUUACGCCCAGGCCAUCGAGAAUUUCUGGAAGGGCUCCCUAAGGGGUAAAGCCCUACAAUACACAAGUUUAAAAGAUUAUCCUUUAUUGUAUAUGCUUCUAUGAGUAGCAGUUUAUAGGUUUAAUUGCUUUUCACUUCCAUGUUCAGUUUAUGACCCUGUGGGAUAGGGGUAUAUAAUGGUUAGUGAUAAAUGUUUCAUUCUUAAAUUUUAUAUUUUAAAAGUAUUUUUAUUAAAAAUAAGAAUAAUUAUGAUUUUUUUUUUUUUUAAGUAAAUAAGAAUAUUUUCGGUUGGGAAUCUUCUUGCUUCAUUAGAGAAAUGUGAGACCUUGAGACUCGUACAUGAGGGCUUCAGACCAGAAGUUCCGAGAUGAAAAUGAUCUAAUUAAAUACAUUGCAUAGUUGAAAUAGAUCCGAUUUCGUAGGAUCUUAUACCAAUAAGAAACCAGGGAGAGGACCUUUGAAGGCGGGUUGUCCCACAUCGGAACCAGAUAGGAAUUAAUCGAGGAGCUAGAGAUUAUAAAAUGGAAGGCAAAGGAUCAAUUAAAAUUAUCUUUGCGCUUGGGGCAAUGACGCAGCUAAUGAGGUUCUAACCGAGGCGCGUCAAUUGCUGGUUGAAAACUAUUUCCAAACCCCCUCUUUGGCCUGGGUUUGGCCCAGGCCAUUGAGAAUUUCUGGAAGGGCUCCC
rnacentral:lncRNA from 1 species